GGCUGCGCAACGCUGGAGUGCGAUGGGAGCGCGAGACAUGUCGGACGAGCCUAGCAGUGAUGCUGCCUGGAGUUAAAGGAGGCCAGGAGCACCAGAAGCUGGAGGAGGCCGGAGUGGAUUCUCCCCUGGAGGCUUCUGUGGGAACAUAGGCUCCUGAUACUUCGGUUCCAUCUCUUGUUUAAAGGCACCCAGCUUCUCAUCAUUUGUUACAGCACCCUGGAAAACUCACACACAAGUGAAGCCCCAACCCAUCCCCGAAGUGCCCAUCUGAGCACCCCUCGUGGAUUCUGAGCAGGGGGUCACCACCACCAACUCCACGUCUUGCAGCCCCUCUUCCCUUCAGUCUGGCUGCCACCUUCUUCAUUGCCCUGAAAAAAAAAUAAUGAAGUUUCACCAUUUAAAGGGUUUCAGUGCAGCUUGCUAUGGGAACACUGGAGAGUAACACAAAUGGCCAAUUGUCCUAAUAGCCACCAUGGAAUGGAUGGAUGCUAACAACAGGCUCGGAGUUCUCCAUCUGUUGCCUCCUUUUAUCCACAUGAGAAUCAAACAAGAUCUUCCAGGAAUCUAAAAAUGUGUGUGAGAUUUCACCUGUAAAAUCUGAGUUAUUUUGAAUCUGCAUUUUCCUGAAGAUUUUUCUUUGUGUGGUCAGCUUUGUUGGAAAAAUCCAGAAGCCUCCAUGAACUUACAACCCUGCAUGAAUAAAUGUAAUAUUUCGUUUGGA
rnacentral:lncRNA from 1 species